UACAGAGGGUGCAAGCGUUGUUCGGAAUUAUUGGGCGUAAAGCGCGUGUAGGCGGCUUUGCAAGUCGGGUGUGAAAGCCCUCAGCUCAACUGAGGAAGUGCGCCCGAAACUGCAGAGCUUGAGUACCGGAGAGGAUGGCGGAAUUCCCCCAAGUAGAGGUGAAAUUCGUAGAUAUGGGGAGGAACACCGGUGGCGAAGGCGGCCAUCUGGACGGAUACUGACGCUGAGACGCGAAAGCGUGGGGAGCAAACAGG
rnacentral:rRNA from 1 species